rnacentral:rRNA from 1 species
UACGUAGGGUGCGAGCGUUGUCCGGAAUUAUUGGGCGUAAAGGGCUCGUAGGCGGUCUGUUGCGUCGGGAGUGAAAACUCAGGGCUUAACCCUGAGCCUGCUUCCGAUACGGGCAGACUAGAGGUAUGCAGGGGAGAACGGAAUUCCUGGUGUAGCGGUGAAAUGCGUAGAGAUCAGGAGGAACACCCGUGGCGAAGGCGGCUCCCUGGUCCGUCCCUGACGCUGAGACGCGAAAGCGCGGGGAGCGAACGGG